rnacentral:lncRNA from 1 species
AUUGUUCAAGUUUAUUCGCGGAGGCAAGAGACAAAUGAUACAUGUCCCACGCCAGUUCCUGCAUCAUCUGAUUCUUCUUUGCCUGAUCCUCGAGAUAACCUUGAUCUUCCUAUUGCUCUUCGCAAAGGUACACGUACUUGCAAAUCGACAUAUUCUGUUGCUAACUUUCUUUCCUAUGACCACUUAUCCUCUACGUCUAGAUCUAUGAUUGCUUCUCUAGACUCCAU